rnacentral:SRP_RNA from 1 species
AGGCUGUCAUGGCUUUUAGUGGGAUCGAAUACUUUGGGAUAUUUGACAGGGGAACGAAACUUCCUCACAGUCGGACAUGGAUAUUGCACGUCUCGUCGUUGGCGAGUCAAAGGGUGGGAUUUUAUCUCGUUCUGCGCCAUGUUCUGUUGCUUCAACCGUCUUCCAAUUGCCGUCUUUUAGGGCUUGUCCGGGGGUGUUCUCUCCUUAUGGGGGGACCACCUCUGAGGUGGUUGGGCUCUGAGUUAACGUGUCCUGGUUUUCAAUCAAUCGAUCUUUGCGGGUUGCUCGUUGAUGGUGACAUGAGAAAUCUGUCCUUUCCAUCCGACGCGGUAAUGUAAAUUGGUCUUUGACCUCGCUUUCACCGCCAUUAGGGGAGUUUCAUCCAGCGAUGGCAAAAGUGACCCGUGAUGGAGGCGACCGGGAUGGCACUGUUCUUAGGGCAAAUGUACAAGUUUGGGUCAACCCUGGGGUUAAUAUUUCAGGGUUACUUUAAUUGGACGGUGUUGCCAGAUAUUUCCUGCCUUUAAUGGACCGUUUGGGAAGUGUUCUUAGGAACCACUAUAUU